AUGGCGCCUAUUUACUUCGGAAGGACAUCACAAACAAUCCGGGCGUCACCCAGCCUGAGCCUAAUAGUCUCCGAUAUUAGAAUAACGGGACAUAGAAUACCAACAAACUUCUCGGUGGUCAGAGCUCUCUCCGUACAAGCGGGAGACAUGGACAAUGUGCCACCAACACCGUUGCCCCCAGUUGUUAUCCUCACGCAGACUUCCCCUGAAGACAUCAAAGUGCACAACUUGGCCACUGCUGUCUGCUUAAUAUCGGGUUUCCAUCCGGACCAACUCAGUGUUAAAUGGCUGAAGGAUUCGAAGCCCAUCACCUCAGGUGUUGUGACCUCUCCUUCGGUUAAAGACGACAACGGGACAUUCGGUACCAACAGCCGCCUGACGGUGCCCACCAGAGAAUGGAGCAAUGGCGCGGUUUACACCUGUCAGGUGUCCCACGAACCCACCCACACCAUCAUUAUCAAGAACAUCACUACGCCUUCAGAUAAAGUACUGCACAAACCGUCGUCCCCAGUUGUUAUCCUAACACAGACCUCCCCGGAAGACAUCAAAAUGCACAACUUGGCCACGGCUGUCUGCUUAAUAUCCGGGUUCAAUCCGGACAAAAUCAGGGUUAGAUGGUUGAAGGAUUGGCAGCCGAUCACCUCAGGUGUUGUAACUUUUGCCUCGGUUAAAGAAGUCAGUGGGACAUUCAGCACCAACAGCCGGCUCACUGUGCCCGCCAGAGAGUGGAGCACUGGCGCGGUUUACACCUGCCAGGUGUCCCAUGAACCCACCCAGACUAUCAUUGUCAAGAACAUCACCAAGUCCUCAGAAUGCGAGGAACCUUCUGAAGGUGUCAAGAUCUAUAUCCUGCCACCUGCACAGCGACAGGUUUUGAUGGAAACCUCUGUAACCCUGACAUGUGUUGUGGCUAAUGCACCAAUUCACGUCAACGUGACCUGGACACAAGGAAAUACACACUUGCAGUCUGGAUAUGGGAUACGCUCUGCCACUGAGCCUCAGAAAGUGAUCAGUAAAAUAAACAUUUCUGCUUUAGACUGGAGCAGUGGUAAAGAAUUCUUCUGUGUAGCCAGCCACGAUGAUAUGCCGACUCCCAUCAGAGAAAAGACGUUUAAGCUGAAAGUUGAGAACGUGAAACAGCCUUCAGUGUAUCUCCUCCUCCCGUCGGCAGAAGAAGUGUCCGCUCAGCAGUCUGUCACCCUCACCUGCCUGGUGAAGGACUUCGCUCCCAAAGAGAUAUUUGUGCAGUGGACUGAGAAUGACCAGGUGAUUGAUGCCAAUAACUACAAAAACACUGAUAUGUUGGCAGACAGUGCAGAUCGCACAUACUCCAUGUACAGCAUGUUGUCAAUCUCAGCCGAAGGUUGGGGCAAAGGAACCUCCUACUCCUGUGUCGUCGGACAUGAAACUUUCCCACUGAAGAGUCUGACCAGAUCCGUUAAUAAAUCCAGCGAUUUGCCAAUCGAGAUGAUGUUGGAAAGGUUUCAAGAAAUUCAAUGUGACGACCUCUGGCCUACUGCUUCCACAUUCAUCAUUCUCUUCUUCCUCAAUAUUUUCUACAGCGCCACCGUCACUCUAGUUAAGAUAAAAUGAAUUCACUAAGAUCUGCGUCAACGAUGCGACUCGUCCGUUUGUGUCUAACAACAUCGUCUUGUGAAAGAUUAUGUGCAGCCUUUUUUCACUCAUUGUACAAAUCACUUAAAAUAAACAUUGUAUAUUGCAA